rnacentral:rRNA from 1 species
UAAGCGCGAGGUGAAAUUCAGGCUCAACCUGAAACUGGCUCGCGAAACUGUAAAGCUAGAGUAUAUGAGGGGAAGCUGGAAUUCCUGGUGUAGGAGUGGAAUCCGUAGAUAUCAGGAGGAACACCAAUGGCGUAGGCAGGCUUCUGGCAUAUUACUGACGCUAAGGCACGAAAGCGUGGGGAGCGAACGGGAUUAGAUACCCCGGUAGUCCACGCCGUAAACGAUGGAUGCUA